UAUGUUUCCCAUAUUUACCAUAGCACCCGAAGAAAACUCAUUUCCAAUAUCAUUACAAAAAUAUUUUUUUUAUCUGCAAUACUGCUAUAGAAUUUUCACUAACCAGUUUUCUCUUUUAGGUACAUUUUGGCCUUGCACAAUGGCAUCGAGGUUCUUCAGUAACACAGCACAUGCAUACACAUAUGAAGAUAUAUAAGUUCCUACGAGGCUAGACUGAUCCUGAUCUCAUCUUUAUCACCAUCCUCUUGGUUUGGAAAUGGACAAGCAAAAUGGACGGCACGAUAUUUUGUAUAAUAUGAUCUAAUGUUGUUUUGUAGUCUAUACGAUACUAUACUUUUAUUUGGUAAAAAUAUUGAUUUGUAAAUUUCGAAAUCGAAUAUUUUUUGUGUACUGCAUAUCUCUCUUCAGUAUACAUACAUAUUUAUGCAUUUUUUGUUUGAGAAGCAUUCCCAUUUCUUUAAAUAGAUUUGCUUGUGAAUUUUGUUCUCAACCAAA